GCUUCCUUAGCUCAGCUGGAUAGAGCAACUGCCUUCUAAGCAGUGGGUCGCUGGUUCGAAUCCAGCAGGAAGCG
rnacentral:tRNA from 1 species